CGAGGCCAGGGCAGCUGAUGCUCCAGCUACUGGCUCCGGGGCCGCCGCUUACCUCGGCCGCUGCCCAGCCACACGGUGGACGGCGCCUCGGGAAGCAGCGGGAAUCUGCCGCCGCCUGCUUGGCGCACAAGAUACUGCUACAACACAGCAACAUGACAGCUUCAGAACUGACAGAAGAGUACAAAGGAAAGUACUUCUUGUAGGUAGACUCAAAACCUACUUACAAAAAAUAAUAAUAAAAAACAAUGAAGGAUAUCAUUUUCUUGGGACUGAAUGAGAUGAAAAGGGAGCCUCCCUUGGUGGAGUACCUGAAGCAGGAGUGAAAGAGGAAAGGAGAAUGGAGGAGGAGGAGGAGGAUCACUUCAGACUGCUAUCAAGAGCAGCAAAGAAUACACAUGGACUGCACUUCAGGAAGAAAAUUAGAGAAUAAAGAAAAGCACUGAACAUGAAAAGGAAAUGAGACAACUGAAAAUGAAGCAACGUUCUACAGCCAUCUGUCAGAUGAUGAAAAAUGUUGGAGAAUAUAUGUUCACCAGUAUACUGGAAUCAAAAUGACAGGGCACCCAGGCAUUGCCUACCACCAACACUCCAACCGAUAUGACAGAUAUGACAAUAUCCUGGACAAACCUUAUGGAAUUAAGUUAAAGUAUUUUAGGAGAUCAUUAUGUUAAAAUACAAAUGUUUAUGUAUUAUCAUGGGAUGGUAUGUAACUUCUUUUAAUGGGGACACAAGACUAAUGUAAACACUGGGAAGUGUUAUGUGCUUCAAAGAACUCUUUUACAAUAGUGGAGCAGACAAAAUUGAACUUUUAGUUGAGCAGUGUUCCUAGGAAAUACUUGGGAAGAAGGGAAUGUAAAUUACUCACCUCUAGAGCCAUCCUUUUGAAGCUGCACCUUGAAGAGAAACCCAUUAUCUUACUAAUUACCUACUCUCAGUCUCUUCAAAGGCCUACUAAACUGGCUAAAGGAGGGACUCACAGGGGAGCUAGUUCUGAGCUAAUGUGGUUAGAAGCUGGUGACCACAGGAAAAAGCCCUGUGUGGGGUAUGAAGAACUAAUCACCACCACUAAUCACACCUUGUAGGAGUUAGGGUGAUCUCUAGUAAGCUUAUCAGCAUGUGUGUAGGUUCUCUUAUUGUUUUAACAUGUUUUCUCUGUAAUGUUUUUACCUUAAGAAUAAAAGUGGUUGCUUAGAAA